UUCCAUUUGAAAAAAAAAAAAAAGCAUUCACUCAAGUGAAAAUGCACGAACUCUAAAAUUAAUGGGAAGAAUGACCAUCUUUAUAAUAUGCACUUUGGAACUGUUCCCAUCUCCAGAUACAAUUAGAGGAAAGCACUGACCCCAUCCCAAGUCAAGCCUUGAGCCUGCAGAUUCCUGAUGGUAGGAGUGAGGGUCCUGCCCUCAGGACCCGCUGGAGGGUAGAACAGAACUAACAAGUGAAUCUUACUGAGUUGGGACCAAAGAAACCCACUGAAGUGAGCCUUUAAGAGACAUUUGUGCUGGUGAUGACAGCAUUUUCAUGAUAUUAGCCAACCUGUGAGAAGCACCAAUACCCUGAGGCCAUUAUGAGGAAGUUCACACCACAGAGAGAGACCCUGAGUAGAUGUGCUGAUUUACAGUUCCAGCUGAAUGCAGCCUUUGAAUCACCCCAGCCCAGGUGCCAAACAUGUGAGAGAAGAAGCUUCCAGAUCAUUCCAGUCCCCAGCCAUCUGAGUCAACUUCAGCCUUUGUGUCUGCCCAGUGAAUGCCUCAGACAUCAUGAAGCAGAAGCAAGUCAUCCUUACUGUGCUCUGUCUGAAUUCCUGACUCACACAAUUAAUGAGCAUAAUAAAAUGAUUGUUGUUUUAUACUCCUGUGUUCUGGGGCAUUUGUUGUGCAGCAAAAAAG
rnacentral:lncRNA from 1 species